AUUGAACGCUGGCGGAAUGCUUUACACAUGCAAGUCGAACGGUAGAGGGGGCAACCCCUUGAGAGUGGCGAACGGGUGAGUAAUAUAUCGGAACGUGCCCAGUCGUGGGGAUAACGUAGCGAAAGUUACGCUAAUACCGCAUACGAUCUAAGGAUGAAAGCGGGGGAUCGCAAGACCUCGCGCGAUUGGAGCGGCCGAUAUCGGAUUAGGUAGUUGGUGAGGUAAAGGCUCACCAAGCCGACGAUCUGUAGCUGGUCUGAGAGGACGACCAGCCACACUGGGACUGAGACACGGCCCAGACUCCUACGGGAGGCAGCAGUGGGGGAAUUUUGGACAAUGGGCGCAAGCCUGAUCCAGCAAUGCCGCGUGCAGGAUGAAGGCC
rnacentral:rRNA from 1 species